CUGAUAUAUAUUCCGGAUACUAAUGCUCUGUUAGAUGAAUAGUUUGGAUGGGAAAACUGACAACCAUGCCUGCAGGUCUGAUAUAUGCAUCUGUAAGUGUACAUGCAGCCAAACAAGAGGAAUCCAAAAAGCAGCUAGUGAAACCAGAGCAGCUCCCCAUAUAUACUGCACCACCGCUCCAGUCUAAAUAUGUUGAAGAGCAGCCUGGUCAUUUACAAAUGGGCUUUGCUUCCAUCCGCACUGCAACUGGUUGUUACAUUGGC
rnacentral:lncRNA from 1 species